rnacentral:rRNA from 1 species
GAUGAACGCUGGCGGCAUGCCUAAUACAUGCAAGUAGAACGAGAGGAAGGAAAGCUUGCUUUCCUGCAUCUAGUGGCGAACGGGUGAGUAACACGUAGGUAACCUGCCCAUGUGCCCGGGAUAACCUCUGGAAACGGAAGCUAAAACCGGAUAGGUAGCAGCCAAGCCUUGGACUGCUAUUAAAGCGACCGUGGCCAUGAACAUGGAUGGACCAGCGGUGCAUUAGCUAGUUGGUGAGGUAACGGCCCACCAAGACGACGAUGCAUAGCCGGCCUGAGAGGGCGGACGGCCACAUUGGGACUGAGACACGGCCCAAACUCCUACGGGAGGCCGCAGUAGGGAAUUUUCGUCAAUGGGGGGAACCCUGAACGAGCAAUGCCGCGUGAGUGAGGAAGGUCUUCGGAUCGUAAAGCUCUGUUGUAAGAGAAAAACGGCACUCAUAGGGAAUGAUGAGUGAGUGAUGGUAUCUUACCAGAAAGUCACGGCUAACUACGUGCCAGCCGCCGCCGUAACAC